UACGAAGGGGGCUAGCGUUGCUCGGAAUUACUGGGCGUAAAGCGCACGUAGGCGGAUUGUUAAGUCGGGGGUGAAAUCCUGGAGCUCAACUCCAGAACUGCCUUCGAAACUGGCGAUCUUGAGUCCGGGAGAGGUGAGUGGAACUGCGAGUGUAGAGGUGAAAUUCGUAGAUAUUCGCAAGAACACCAGUGGCGAAGGCGGCUCACUGGCCCGGUACUGACGCUGAGGUGCGAAAGCGUGGGGAGCAAACAGG
rnacentral:rRNA from 1 species